UUCAACCUAAUGGUAGACCUAUCAAAAUCGCCCUUUUCAAGACGCUUUUUCACGGAUAAAAAAGACACAAUUAAUAAUGGAAAACCCGCACCAAACCUGGGUUCACUAAAACAGACCAGUAAGAACUUUGUAAGGCUUUUAAAGACCGUAACUAUGAGCGCUACGAGCGGCUAACAGCUAGCACGGAGCACAACAAGCUAUUGAUUUUAUUUACAAGUAAUUGCCUGUCCAUGCCAAACUCCUCAGUGCCAGGAAUGCUUCACAUCUGCCUCGUCUGCCUCCGGAUCAUGGUGCGACUUUAAAGCUAACAGGUCGACCUUUUAUUUGAAAUUCGUCAAACCUUGUUUCAAAUAGUUUGCUACUUAUAAAACAACAUGCAGCAGCCAUUUUAUUCUAUUUCGGUUGCUAUAACUUGUCGAGAUUAACUUUGCUUAUGUACACAUGC